GAAAAAAUGGCUACCGAAGGUCCCAAGCCCUGCGUUUACCUUCAAGACAUGGAAGAAGUGAAAAAAGUAUUCGCACGCUUCGACGCGAAUGGCGACGGCAUGAUCUCCGGCGACGAACUUUCCGGCGUACUGAAAGCCCUAGGAUCCGACACUUCGCCGGAAGAAGUUGCACGUAUGAUGGCCGAAAUUGAUACCGAUAAGGACGGUUGCAUUAACCUAGAUGAAUUUGCAGAUUUUUGCAAAAACGACGAAUCCGUCGACGGCGGCGCUAAGGAACUGAAGGAAGCGUUUGAUCUUUACGAUCAGGAUCAUAACGGAAGGAUUUCUGCUACGGAACUUCAUCAGAUCCUGAACCGCUUGGGCCAGAAUUGUACCCUUCAGGAUUGUACCAGAAUGAUCACGUCCGUUGAUGCAAACGGUGACGGUUACGUUUGCUUUGAAGAGUUUAAGAAGAUGA
rnacentral:misc_RNA from 1 species